AACGAACGCUGGCGGCGUGGAUAAGACAUGCAAGUCGAACGAAGCUUUGAGGGCUUGCUCUCAAAGCUUAGUGGCGAACGGGUGCGUAACACGUGAGUAAUCUGCCGGGAAAUGGGGGAUAGCUUGCCGAAAGGCAAAUUAAUACCGCAUGUGGCCAGGAAGGACAUCCUUCCAAAGCUAAAGUCGAAAGACGUUUCCUGAUGAGCUCGCGGCCUAUCAGCUAGUUGGUGAGGUAAUGGCUCACCAAGGCUAUGACGGGUAGCUGGUCUGAGAGGACGACCAGCCACACUGGAACUGAGACACGGUCCAGACACCUACGGGUGGCAGCAGUCGAGAAUUUUUCACAAUGGGGGGAACCCUGAUGGAGCGACGCCGCGUGGAGGAUGAAGGCCUUUUGGUUGUAAACUCCUGUCAAACGGGAACAAGAAAGUGAUAGUACCGUUAGAGGAAGAGACGGCUAACUCUGUGCCAGCAGCCGCAGUAAUAC
rnacentral:rRNA from 1 species